ACAAUGAAUGAAAUAAAAAGUUCUCUUCUUUAUCUUUCUAUUGUAUUACCUCUUUGUUUUGAUUUUUUCUCUUUAGUUUGUUAUUUCCUUUAAUUAUUUCAUAAUGCGUUAUUAGCAUGAGUUUGGUCGAUAGUUUUCAAUAUUCCGUAGGAGAAAAAGUAAUCUAGAUGUAUAAUGUCAUUGUUAAAGCAACAAUCCCAAGGUAUGUGAUUUUCUGUAACAUCCCAAAUUUUAGAUUAAUGAGAAUGCAAAAUUAUUUCAAAAAUAAUGGAAUAAUACAAGGGUUGAUUGAUAAUUAUGAAAGCAUGAUAGUUAAAUUAAGGUCCCAAGUUUGAAUCCUUUCUAUCGCAAAAUAAUUAAAUUUUGCAAUAUACCUUGUUUUAUUAAUGUGUGUGUCGUCCAUACCCUUAUAGACCUAGGUAUAAAUAUUAUUUUUAAACAAAUUGAUCAGCUUUAAUCCCAUUUUCUCCACCCUAGCCGUUCCUCCCUUCUCUUUUCCUCCUCUCUUUCCAAUUUUUCUUUCUCCCUUCCUUAUUUUCGUCGCCCAAACCCUUACAUCACCAUCUUUUUUUUCUUUUCUUUUUGCCACAAUAUCUUGAAUCAUCUUCCUCAAAACAUUGCUUCCAUUUUCCCCUUAAUUUUCCAGCACCAAAUCUGAAAUUGGACCUCCAAGAUCGAUUCUCAUUCUUGCCAAGAAGUGCCAUUGCACCCCUAUCACCUAGUUUGUGUGCCGACUUAAAUGCCCCAAACCAACAUGAAGUUGAAAGACGUUCGCGCGUACGGUUCGCAUCAAAUCAGUGUAUAGUUUGGAUUCAAAAAAUAGUUAUAAUUGUAAACAUCGGAUUGAACCCAUAAGUGGGUAUUUGAGAGCUAUUUAGGAGGUGUAAUAAUCGAGUUUAAUACUGAUUUUUAGUUUAAUUUAAUUUUAAAAAUUAUUAGAGAAA